rnacentral:rRNA from 1 species
UUCAUCACUAAUAAUAUAAUAUAUUAAUAAUAUUAUAAAAAUGGUGUGCACUUUUUCCAUAUAAGGACAUUGUAAUUUGUUAAUGUAAUAAAUAUUUAUCAUAAGAUCCAUUACUUAAGUUUAUUCAAAUUAGUUAUUUUCGGAUUUCUAACAUAAAAUAAAUGUUUUGGAUUUGAUAAAUCAUUGACAGAUAUAAUUAUAUAAUGCGCUUAAAUUUCUUUUAUAAGGAAUUUUACAAUUAAAUAAAAUAAAAAUAAAUUGUAUGCGCUAUUAUGAUUAACAAUGCAAUAGAUUCAGGAUACCUUCGGGACCCGUCUUGAAACACGGACCAAGGAGUCUAACAUAUGUGCAAGUCAUUGGGUAUUUUUAAUAAAACCCAAUGGCGUAAUUAACUUAACUGAUAUAUAAAAUGGGAUGAGUUUAUAUUUUGUUAUGAAAUAUGAAUGCAAUCCCGGGGCGUUCUAUGUAGUUAUGCAUAGUGAUAUUUAUAUUAUUUAUGCCUCUAACUAGAGC